rnacentral:lncRNA from 1 species
AAAAUUAGAAGCAUCCACUAUGAUGACUUCUACUAUUUUGAUCGACAGAAAAUUUUGUAUCCAGGCUCAGUGUUGAACGGGACUUUUUUUGUAUGGUUGGAUGAUAGGUACUGGCCAGAGGAGGUGUGGGUGGAUGCUUCGGAAUCCCACUACUCAACUCCCACGUCCACGCCUCUUGCUUCGGAAUCCUUCUCUUCUCCUCGUCCCACGUCCACAAGAGACCUGGGCCAUGCACGUGGCUUCAGCUCCCAUUUCGAACGUACUCGGCUUCUUCCGUCCUCGCAACGGAACCACCAGCGGAGCGAGUUUUCCCCUUCUCCCAGAUCCAUCGCGGCCGACUCCACUCCUCCCUUCUGACGGUUCUGACGGGGUGGUUGCCGUGCAUGGGACGUGGUCCAAAGACACCAAGUAGCGUGGAUUCGGCUUUCGAACUCAUUGGGAUCUGGUGCACCCAUCAUCAGACUUUAAAAUUAAUUUGCUAUUUGAUUGCUUCUUUUUUUUUCUUAGGCGAAAAAGGAAAGAGGGGGGUGAGGAUAACCUCACCCGCGUAGCAACCCCCACUGGGCCAUUUCUUACUGAAGAGUGUUCGAUACGGGUAGAACAUUUUUUACUCAUACCCUCUCCAUCCAUGGUGGAGCCCGACCAGCAUGGCAGCCCCAUCCACGUAUGAGUACGUCACACCAGCACCACCUAAGUACCGGUGGACUAGAUGGCGACUUCACCGAACAAAUCAAGUGGAGAGCAUCCGGUCUCCAUAUUUAAUCUACGCCGGCGCAUUUUGAUUACUAUUGGAGUGCCGUGUUGGUAACCAGAAUUUGAAAGUACCAGAAAGACACUGG